UACAGAGGUCCCAAGCGUUGUUCGGAUUCACUGGGCGUAAAGGGUGCGUAGGCGGCGGGGUAAGUUCGAUGUGAAAGCUCGCAGCUCAACUGCGAAAUGGCAUUGAAAACUACCUUGCUUGAGGCUUGGAGGGGGGACUGGAAUGCUCGGUGUAGCAGUGAAAUGCGUAGAGAUCGAGCGGAACACCAGUGGCGAAGGCGAGUCCCUGGACAAGUCCUGACGCUGAGGCACGAAAGCCAGGGGAGCAAACCGG
rnacentral:rRNA from 1 species